rnacentral:rRNA from 1 species
UACGGAGGGUGCAAGCGUUGUCCGGAAUUACUGGGCGUAAAGGGCGCGUAGGCGGCCUGGUAAGUAGGGGGUGAAAUCCUGCGGCUUAACCGCAGGGCUGCCUUCUAAACUGUCAGGCUUGAGCACGGUAGAGGCAGAUGGAAUUCCCGGUGUAGCGGUGGAAUGCGUAGAGAUCGGGAAGAACACCAGUGGCGAAGGCGGCGAUCUGGGAAGAUACUGACGCUGAGGUGCGAAAGCGUGGGGAGCAAACAGG